rnacentral:rRNA from 1 species
UACGAAGGGGGCUAGCGUUGCUCGGAAUCACUGGGCGUAAAGCGCACGUAGGCGGCUUCUUAAGUCAGGGGUGAAAUCCUGGAGCUCAACUCCAGAACUGCCUUUGAUACUGAGAAGCUUGAGUCCGGGAGAGGUGAGUGGAACUGCGAGUGUAGAGGUGAAAUUCGUAGAUAUUCGCAAGAACACCAGUGGCGAAGGCGGCUCACUGGACACAUAUUGACGCUGAGGUGCGAAAGCGAUGGGGAGCAAACUAGGG